rnacentral:lncRNA from 1 species
UGGAGUGGUUCGCUUAAUUAUUUUUUACGUCUUUCCAAAAAUUGAAAUACAUCAAAUAUUUAUAUAUGAGAAAUUUUCAUGUUUACUAUUUUUUUAUACUAUUAUUCGUGUUUACCACCACUAAAGAGGCAUUUUCAAAAAAUACAUUGUUCAUUAAGUUGCAAAAGACUAUUAUAUUUUUGUCUUAUAUAUAUAUAAUAAAUAAUUAUUUAAAUAAAUAAAAAAUAUACUAUUUCAAAUUCAAAUUUUUUUAUAAUUUCUUUUUAAAUUUUUUUCGAAUGUUUUUUAAAAUUUCUUUUUGAAAAUCAAAAGUUAUUUUUGAAACUAUUUUUUUUUAAAAUAUA